CACUACCCCUACCCCACGUUACUCCACUCCCCUCUCUUUUUCUUGUUAAAAAAGAAAAGGCUCAAAAACACAAUAUAUAUACAUACCCAUAUAGACAAAAAAUGGAUGAACAGUAGAGGGUAACAAAAAUAUCAUCAGCUUUCUCUCUCCACUUUCUCUCUUCUCUUAAAAAAUUUUGAACUCCCACCACCGCUUCGCCGCCGACCGGAGCUCCGGCCACCACAACACCACCAUCUUUCCCCUCUCUCUACCAUCUCUCCCUCCAAAACUAAAAAAAAAAAAAAAGAGAAAAGCAGCGGCGCCGCCGUCCUAUUGGCGACAAUAGCGCCGGCACCGUCGGCCGCAGCUUGUCCCCCCAGUCAGCGUACAGCGAGACCGGCCCUCCCUUCUUUUUCUUUCUCCGAUCUCCGAACACGCGCCACCGAUUCGCCGCCGACCGGACCCGAACCGAUCUCCCAACCCGAGAUCCGACCGCCCUCUCUCUCGGCAUCCAGUUCCCUCCAUCUCUCUUUCUUUCUAAGCUCCAUCUGCAGCUCACCCGUCCGGCGAAACAGGGCCGCCAUCGGAGAACAGGCGCCACCACCGUCUCUCCGUCGCCGGAGCUCCCGGAUCUCGAUCUGCAUUGGAUUUUUUGGUUUCCUGCUGUUUGUUGGUUGAUCUUGGUUUAGUCUAUUUCUUGGUUCAUCGUCGAUACAGCCGGCGAACCAGUGCCGCCACCGGAGAACAGGCGCCGCCGCCGUCUCUCCGUCGCCGGACCUCCCGGAGCUCGAUCUGCAUUGGGUUUUUUGGUUUUCUGCUGUUUGUUGGUUGAUCUUGGUUUCGUCUAUUUCUUGGUUUGUCGUCGAUAAUAGAUCUUGAGUCGUCUUUAUCGAAUCGUGUUGUCGUUCUCGGUUGGGUUUUGUAUAGUAAAGUUUUUCUUCACUAGUUUUGGAGCUGUACGGUUAUUAUUUUAAUACCGAGUCUGAUUUGUUCGUUGUGAGGCUCUUCGAUCGAGUAUUUUGGUCUUUGAAUUUCUUUAUUAUCGACAAGGAUUAGUUUCGUCAAGGUCCAUUUCUUCUAACCGAAUCUUUAAUUUAUCUUGACUUGUUAUUGAUGUUGUUGGUGUGGAUGAUUUAUUUGUUGUGUGUUUGGUUUGAAUCUUCGUUGUUUGUGUUGUGUUUGAUGUUGGUUUU
rnacentral:lncRNA from 1 species